rnacentral:rRNA from 1 species
UACGAAGGGGGCGAGCGUUGUUCGGAUUUACUGGGCGUAAAGGGCGCGUAGGCGGCCCUCCUUGUCGCGUGUGAAAGCCCCGGGCUCAACCUGGGAAUUGCGCGCGAAACGGGGGGGCUUGAGUUCGGGAGAGGAGCGUGGAAUUCCCAGUGUAGAGGUGAAAUUCGUAGAUAUUGGGAAGAACACCGGUGGCGAAGGCGGCAUCCUGGACCAAUAUUGACGCUGAGGAGCGAAAGCCAGGGGAGCAAACGGG